rnacentral:rRNA from 1 species
GAUGAACGCUGGCGGCGUGCCUAAUACAUGCAAGUCGAGCGAACGGACGAGAAGCUUGCUUCUCUGAUGUUAGCGGCGGACGGGGGAGUAACACGUGGAUAACCUACCUAUAAGACUGGGAUAACUUCGGGAAACCGGAGCUAAUACCGGAUAAUAUUUUGAACCGCAUGGUUCAAAAGUGAAAGACGGUCUUGCUGUCACUUAUAGAUGGAUCCGCGCUUCAUUAGCUAGUUGGUAAGGUAACGGCUUACCAAGGCAACGAUGCAUAGACGACCUGAGAGGGCAAUCGGCCACACUGGAACUGAGACACGGUCCAGACACCUACGGGAGGCAGCAGUAGGUCAUCUUCAGCAAUGGGCGAAAGCCUGACGGAGCAACGCCGCGGGAGUGAUGAAGGUCUACGGAUCGUAAAACGAUGUUAUUAGGGAAGAACAUAUGUGUAAGUAACUGUGCACAUCUUGACGGUACCGAAACAGCAAGCCACGGCUAAAUACGU